rnacentral:lncRNA from 1 species
CACCCAGGUGUCCUUGUAGAGGAUGGAUUAGGAAAGUGUGUCAGUGUCCCAGGGCUGCCAAAAAAAGUAUACCCACAACCAGAGGUCUUGAAAUAGGAGGGACCGAUUCUCUCAGUUCUUAGAUGCCAUAAGUCUGAAAUCAUGGUGCCAGCAGGGCCAGCUCCCUCUGAGACUGGGUGGCAGUCUCCCUUGCUUCUUAUGUUCCUGAGGUCGCCCACUCUGCCCAAUGCUCCUUGACUCCAGCCUGUCAUUGCAUGGCCUCCCCCAUUUGUAUCCACCUCUGUUUUCUCUCCUCACAGAGGCACUGGUCCCUGGUUUAGGGACACCCGAAUCCAGAGCGACCUCAUCUGAACUUCAUUACAUCUGCAAAUAUCCUAUUUCCAAGUAAGGUCGCAUUCCCAGGUACUGGGGAUCAGGGCCUCAACCUAUGUUUUUAGGAACACAGUUCAACCCCCAGCAGGACAAGGAGGGACAAGAGCAGGCAGUCACGAGGACACUUGCAGCAGCUCUCAGGAAAGGAUGAUGGGAACUCCCACAGUGGAGGUAGCCGCAGAGAAGAUCUGGCAGACCAGAAACUCAGGAAGGGAAGUGGAUGAGGCAUGGAUGCGGGGAGAGCCAGGAACAACGGGGUUGACCUCUGGGAUGAGCAGAUAGACUUUCAUAGAGUUAGGGGCCCUGAGGAAGGCGCAGGUGUGUGAGAAGAUGAGCCACAGGAUCAUUUUGGAUGGGUUAAAUUUGAGUUGCCUUUGAGAGAUGAGAAUGGAAAUUAACAUUAAUGAAAUUCAUAAAAUUAAUAUUGCAGAGAGACUUGUACUGGAAAAGUAGCAAAAGUAU